UACGUAGGGUGCAAGCGUUGUCCGGAAUUAUUGGGCGUAAAGAGCUCGUAGGUGGCCUGUCGCGUCGGCUGUGAAAACUCGGGGCUCAACUCCGAGCUUGCAGUCGAUACGGGCAGGCUAGAGUUCGGCAGGGGAGACUGGAAUUCCUGGUGUAGCGGUGAAAUGCGCAGAUAUCAGGAGGAACACCGGUGGCGAAGGCGGGUCUCUGGGCCGAAGUGACUGACACUGGAGGAGCG
rnacentral:rRNA from 1 species